rnacentral:lncRNA from 1 species
CGGUGUCAGCCUUUUCUUUCCUUGCUUUAACUCAGACCUACUGAACCACCUCUCUGUUGAAAUACCACGAAGGAGAAGAAAUAAGCAUCUAAGGUGAUAAACAUCUGUCUCUUAUCAGGAUAAGACACUGAAAAUGUUAUUAUUAUGGAAGUAUCUUCAUUAUGAAAGACUCUUCACAUCAACACGAUGGUGAUUACUCGUUUGCAGUUACCCUCCCAGUAUUGCCCAUGGACACUACAAGGAAGUUAUUUUAAUAACUCCUUAUCCUGAGGCUACAUAUGAAUGUGAUGAAGGAUAUGUUUUGGCUGGAUUUGCUACAAUCUACUGCAAGUCUUUUCACUGGCAACAUGCACCUCCUCAAUGUAAAGCUCUGUGUCUGAAACCAGAAAUAGUGAAUGGAAGGCUGUCUGUGGAUAAGGAUCAGUAUGUUGAGUCUGAAAAUGUUACCAUUGAAUGUGAUUCUGGCUAUGGUGUGGUUGGUCUCAAAAGUAUCACUUGCUCAGAGAAGAGAACCUGGUACCCAGAAGUGCCCAGGUGUGAGUGGGAGGCACCUGAAGGUUGUGAGCAAGUGCUCACAGGCAGAAAACUCAUGCAGUGUCUCCCAAGCCCAGAGGAUGUGAAAGUGGCCCUGGAGGUGUAUAAGCUGUCUCUGGAGAUUAAACAACUUGAAAAAGAGAGAGACAAAUUGAUGAACACCCAUCAGAAAUUUUCUGAAAAAGAGGAAAUGAAGGACUUAUUUUUCCCUUCAAAUCAACAUACAGAAUCUUCAUUCAUCCACCCUACUCUUCCUUGAGCACCAUCACUCUCAUAAGGGUCUGGGCUAGGAGAACUUUCUUAUUACUGCCAGAGAAAAUGUGUAAUUAUUGGUAAUUAGAUUAUUGGUAAUCUAGCCUUUUGUAGCUCAAAUGUCCAGUUUCCUGGACUUGAAGUGCUGGUUAAUUAAAUAAUUAUUUACCAAA